rnacentral:rRNA from 1 species
CAGGCCUAACACAUGCAAGUCGAGCGGUAGAGAGAAGCUUGCUUCUCUUGAGAGCGGCGGACGGGUGAGUAAUGCCUAGGAAUCUGCCUGGUAGUGGGGGAUAACGUUCGGAAACGGACGCUAAUACCGCAUACGUCCUACGGGAGAAAGCAGGGGACCUUCGGGCCUUGCGCUAUCAGAUGAGCCUAGGUCGGAUUAGCUAGUUGGUGAGGUAAUGGCUCACCAAGGCGACGAUCCGUAACUGGUCUGAGAGGAUGAUCAGUCACACUGGAACUGAGACACGGUCCAGACUCCUACGGGAGGCAGCAGUGGGGAAUAUUGGACAAUGGGCGAAAGCCUGAUCCAGCCAUGCCGCGUGUGUGAAGAAGGUCUUCGGAUUGUAAAGCACUUUAAGUUGGGAGGAAGGGCAGUUACCUAAUACGUGAUUGUUUUGACGUUACCGACAGAAUAAGCACCGGCUAACUCUGUGCCAGCAGCCGCGGUAAUACAGAGGGUGCAAGCGUUAAUCGGAAUUACUGGGCGUAAAGCGCGCGUAGGUGGUUAGUUAAGUUGGAUGUGAAAUCCCCGGGCUCAACCUGGGAACUGCAUUCAAAACUGACUGACUAGAGUAUGGUAGAGGGUGGUGGAAUUUCCUGUGUAGCGGUGAAAUGCGUAGAUAUAGGAAGGAACACCAGUGGCGAAGG